AAGUAUAUAAAGUUAUAAAGUCCUUAA
rnacentral:sRNA from 1 species